rnacentral:rRNA from 1 species
AACGAACGCUGGGGGCAGGCCUAACACAUGCAAGUCGAGCGAGGACUUCGGUCCUAGCGGCGGACGGGUGAGUAACGCGUGGGAACGUGCCCUUUGCUUCGGAAUAGCCCUGGGAAACUGGGAGUAAUACCGGAUGAGCCCUUUGGGGGAAAGAUUUAUCGGCGAAGGAUCGGCCCGCGUUGGAUUAGGUAGUUGGUGGGGUAAUGGCCUACCAAGCCGACGAUCCAUAGCUGGUUUGAGAGGAUGAUCAGCCACACUGGGACUGAGACACGGCCCAGACUCCUACGGGAGGCAGCAGUGGGGAAUCUUAGACAAUGGGGGAAACCCUGAUCUAGCCAUGCCGCGUGAGCGAUGAAGGCCUUAGGGUUGUAAAGCUCUUUCAGCUGGGAAGAUAAUGACGGUACCAGCAGAAGAAGCCCCGGCUAACUCCGUG